GUGGGAGUAGCUUAAAUAAAGCGCCGGUCACAACCGCAGUUGCGGGUGCAAAUCCCGCCUCCCACU
rnacentral:tRNA from 1 species